AUGACCACAUUUGAUUUUUUGGAAGACAAGCAAUGUACAGAAAAGACGAGGGUGGAGAGAACAGUUUCAGGGAGAUCAGUUAAGGGGUGGUUGCACUUUUCCAGUAUGAAAAAUUGCAGCCUGAGGGAAGUAGGUUCUGCUAAAAAUGCUGAUACUGGGGGCCAACGUGCAAUGAGGAAGAUGCCACCCAAGCACAUAGCUAAAAGAAGGUCACUCCCAGAAGAUGCCAUCCCCAAAAACAAGAAGGUGAAGGUCUCACACAGGUCCCACAGCACAAAACCAGGCUUGGUGCUAACACUGGGCCAAAGCGAUGUGGGCCAGCUGGGGCUGAGUGAGAAUAUGAUGGAGAGGAAGAAGCCGGCCCUGGUAUCCAUUCCAGAAAAUGUUGUGCAGGCUGAGGCUCGGGGCAUGCAUACCAAGUGUUUAAGCAAAAGUGGCCAGGUCUACUCCUUUGGCUGCAAUGAUGAGGGUGCCCUGGGAAAAGACAUGUCAGUGGAGGGCUCAGAAAUGGUCCCUGGGAAAGUGGAGCUGCAAAAGAAGGUGUCAGCAGGAGACAGUCACACAGUAGCCCUCACCCAGGAUGGCUGUGUCUUCCUCUGGGGCUCCUUAGAGGAUAAUAACAGUGUGAUUGGACUGUUGGAGCCCAUGAAGAAGAGAAUGGUGCCCGUACCCAUCCAGCUGGAUGUGCCUGUGGUGAAAGUGGCCUCAGGAAAUGACCACUUGGUGAUGCUGACAGCUGAUGGUGACCUCUACACCUUGGACUGUGGGAAACAGGGCCAGCUAGGCUGUGUGCCUGAGUUAUUUGCCAACUAUGGUGGCCGGCAAGGCCUUGAACGACUCCUGGUUCCCAAGUGUGUGAUGCUGAAAUCCAGGGGAAGCUGGGGCCAUGUGAGAUUUCAGGAUGCCUUCUGUGGUGCCUAUUUCACCUUUGCCAUCUCUUAAGAGGGCCACAUGUACGACUGGCCUCUCCAACUACCAUCAGCUUGGAACUCCAGGCACAGAAUCUUGUUUCAUACCCCAGAACCUAAUAUCCUUCAAGAAUUCCACCAAGUUCUGGGUGGGUUUCUCUGGUGACCAGCACCAUACAGUCUGCAGGGAUUCAGAAGGAAAAGCCUACAGCAUGGGCAGGGCUGAAUAUGGGCAGUGGGGCCUCGGGAGGAUGCUGAGGAGAAGAGCAUACCCACCCUCAUCUCCAGGCUGCCUGCUGUCUCCUCAGUGGCUUCUGGGGCCUCUGUGGGGUAUGCUGUGACCAAGGAUGGUCGUGUUUUGCCUGGGGCAUGGGCACCAACUACCAGCUGGGCACAGGGCAGGAUGAAGAUGCCUGGAGCCCUGUGGAGGAGACAGGCAAAAACAUGGAGAACUGUGUGGUCUUAUCUGUGUCCAGCAGGGGCAAGCAUACAGUCUUAUUAGUCAAGGAUGGGGAACAGAGCUGAUGCGCCCUCUGAGGGCCUGGCUUCUGGCCCACGUGAACUCCGUCAUCGCAGAACAGGGAAGCAGUGAGAGCUGCAGAUCGCAGCAGGCCUCUCCCCAGCCCUGAACACUGUGUCAGUUCCUGCCUUUUCCCAACAGGAGAACAGAAUUAUUUUCCUCUUCUCCUCUUUGGAAUUCUCCUGAGACCUACAGAAUGAAGUGGGAAGAUGGACAAGAGGUUUUUCAGAAGAAACACGGCUCACUCCAGAGCUACAUGGUUGGAUGUUUCCCACCCCCACCCCACCUUCCAUACUCCUGGUUGGCCCUGCUUUGCCUACUAGAAAACCAAAACCUCCUCCCCUGGGGUUUGCUGCCUACUCUCUGAGCAGCUGGGACUCCAUCAAGUCCCAUUCUAGUCAUGUGCCCCUUUCUCAUCCCUAACAAUCUACAAGCAAACAAAUGGUACAGUCAUAAGACUCAUCUGUCAUGGACUCAGGCCCAGAGGAACGUGCAGAAAAAGCAGAGCUGCGUGGCUGUGGGCAACUCUAAGCCAAAUAUUUGGCUUGGAACUGGUGUUCAUAGGACAAAAAAAAAUGACCAAGAAAAAAAUGGUUCUCCCAGAAGCACAAAGCAUGCUCUUGCCCCUCAGACACUGCUUGUGUACAUCCCACCCAUCCAUUCUGCUUCACUUGCAGCCAAGGGCCUGGAAUCGCAGAGAAGCCAGGCUGGGCAGAGCAGAGCAGGGCAUGGAGUGGGGAGAGAGGCUAGAGGGUUUUAUAAACAAACUUGCAGUAAUAUUGAAAGAGGAGGGAUUGAGGGAAAGACAGAGUGUUCGAGGUGCAGAGACUAGUCCCGAGAUGGAAACAGAAACUUGUACAGUGGCUGAGAAAAUAGAACAUAGUUUUUGAUUUUUAUAAUUGUAAAAUGUUUUGUAGGGGAGAAUGGAAUCUUUUAACACUUUUAAUAAAUUUAGAGUUUAAU